AGAAAAGUCACUUGAGAGAAAACCCACUUUUAGUUUAGUUCUACUCAUCCAUAGCUAAUAAAUUUCAUUCUCACAUGAAAAUCCCUCCUUUCAAGCCUUUAUAGAGUUCACAGUAGUGUAGCAUAUGACGAAAUCUAGUUGGGGUUACUGCACUUAGGACGUACAUUUUGGGUAGUUGAGCAAACCUUUAUCAGUUUCCCUACAUUUUGUUGACCAGUGAUCUACAUGGGAAAACGGGUCUUGAAUCUUGUUGACAUCUUUUCUUAUUCAUAAUUUUCUUUGGGUUGCUCAGCGCUCAGCUUUUGGCUUUUCAAAAAUUUGACCUUCUUCAGCUUUUCCUUUUUGUUCCCUUAUCUUGAUUUUAACUUAUAAUGCUUGCUGGUUUGCCAUAGAUCGCUUUUCACAAUGCAUAUGAGGAAAUUGUGUGGGUUAGAUUAGCUGUAGGGGAAAAAAGCUCGGUAGACAUGGGUCGGCUCAAUUUUGGCAAGGUAUUGGAUUGCCUUUGUCUGAGUCAAGGUUCAUCAAGCUCUUGCUUUUGCAUGAAUUCCGUGGAAAAUCAUGGUGAUGAGUUUGAAAAAAAGCCUCUGAUAGCAAGUGACAAAGGGCAGGUGCUCAGAUUGAAAGAUGUUGUUUCUGGUAACCAGACCUUGGCCUUUCAACUCAAGCCCAAGAUGGUGGUGCUGAAGGUGUCUAUGCACUGCUAUGGCUGUGCAAGGAAGGUUGAGAAACAUGUAUCAAGAUUGCAAGGAGUGACCUCAUACAAAGUUGACCUGGAAAGCAAGAUGGUGGUUGUUAUUGGAGACAUAAUUCCUUGUGAAGUGCUAGAAAGUGUUUCCAAGGUGAAAUAUGCUGAGCUUUGGAAUUCUCCAUUCUGAUAAUUACUUUAAAAAAUAUAUAUAUUGGGGGAAGAAGAAUUCAUCAUAUUUAUUUGUGCGAUUUAAAGCAUUCCCUUCCACAACCCCCAAGAAUUUACUUCAUGAUAUUUUAUUUAUAUAGUAUUUUUUUCUGUUUAUUUAUUAUAAGAACUUAUUAUUUUAUAUAUAUACACAUACACCACAUAUAAUACAUGCCUUGUUUUAUCCAUCGACUCUGUAACAUUUAUGCUAUUGUUAAUUAUUUAUGAAUUUG
rnacentral:misc_RNA from 1 species